rnacentral:rRNA from 1 species
UACGGGGGGAGCAAGCGUUGUUCGGAUUUACUGGGCGUAAAGGGCGCGUAGGCGGCCAGCACAAGUCAGUUGUGAAAUCUCCGAGCUUAACUCGGAAAGGUCAACUGAUACUGUGCGGCUAGAGUGCGGAAGGGGCAACUGGAAUUCUUGGUGUAGCGGUGAAAUGCGUAGAUAUCAAGAGGAACACCUGCGGCGAAGGCGGGUUGCUGGGCCGAUACUGACGCUGUAGAGCGAAAGCGUGGGGAGCGAACAGG